rnacentral:ncRNA from 1 species
CUAAGCGGCGUUGGUGCAACCGGCCCUGAGAGCUCUUUCUUGAUUCGCUGGAUGGUGGUGCAUGCCCUUUCUUAAUUGGUGGAGUGAUUUGUCAGGUUAAUUCCGAUAACGAACCUGAGCCAAUAAAGAUUACGAUUACGAUUACGAUUACGAGACUCUAGCCUAUUAAAUAGGUACGUGCUUCUCUGCACCUUGCACCCUUCUUAGAGGGACAAGCGGCUCCUAGCCGCACGAAACAAAGCAAUAACAGGUAUGUGAUGUCCUUAGAUG